UACGUAGGGUGCGAGCGUUGUCCGGAAUUAUUGGGCGUAAAGAGCUCGUAGGCGGCUUGUCACGUCGAUUGUGAAAGCCCGAGGCUUAACCUCGGGUCUGCAGUCGAUACGGGCUAGCUAGAGUGUGGUAGGGGAGAUCGGAAUUCCUGGUGUAGCGGUGAAAUGCGCAGAUAUCAAGGAGGAACACCGGUGGCGAAGGCGGAUCUCUGGGCCAUUACUGACGCUGAGGAGCGAAAGCGUGGGGAGCGAACAGGA
rnacentral:rRNA from 1 species